AGAGAGAGAGAGAGAGAGAGAGAGAGAGAGAGAGAGAGAGGUGCAGACAUACACAGAACUUUGCUAGUCUCUCUCUCUCUGUUCCCUUGUAAAAGCUUUAAUAGAAUUACAGAGUGAUUUUUAGGAUGCGUUAUGAACCGUCUCGUAGCCCGUAUCAAAGAGGGAGACAACGCGGAGAUAAAGAAAUAACAAACAUAUUUAUUAAAUAAAGUAAACUAUAUACAAGUAACAAGGGUGUGUGUAGUCAGUAGUCAGUAGUGUAAGUGAGUGGAUGUGUUCAUAGAUGGUGCUAAUGUGUUGAGAGUUGCCAAAACAAACAAACACUAAGAAGCCCCAAAACCAACAGUGUGUCUACGUGGAGAGAGUCUCCUCAAUGUAUGGGGGAAAGGUGUAUUUAUCCCCGGGACACACCCGGGUGUGUCCCAUUUCGCUGACGACCCUCUCUGCUCCGCCCACCGACAUCCUAUUAAGGAAAACAAGAGCAAAGAGAAAGAAUCGGCAGACAGAGUGGGAGGGUCGUCACAUGUGGCUGGUAGCCUAGCGGUUAGAGCGUUAGGCCGGUAACCGAAAGGUUGCUAGUUUGAGUCUGUUGAUCUGCCCUUGAAAGGCACUUAACCCUAAUUGCUCCAGGGUUGCCUCCAAUAAUGGAUCCCUGUCUGUAACCCCACUCUCUGAGAGUGUCUCAGGGGGAGUGGGAUAUGUAAGAAACCCAUUCCCAUUGGCCACCACACUUGUACAUGUGUGAAACAGGACAAAUAUAAGCACCCCCUAUUUGACAUAAUAUUACAUAUACUGUUCUGGAUAAUGACUUGCAUUGGUGAUGUCAGCAGGGGGUUAGUUCAAGAGGAUACGUUUUUGCAUUGUCCUUCCUAUUGAUGAUUAAGGAUAGGAUUGGGUGAGGGAAAAUGGAUCCUAGAUCUGUACCUAAGGGCGACUUCUAUCUGGAGCCAACUAAAACAGGGUCAUAAACAAGAUGGAGUCGAGGAGCUUCUUAAUGAAUUAUGGGUAAUAGGAAUAUAUGCAUAAUUAUGAAUAUAAUUAUUUAGGUUUUUGAAUGAUUGAUUGAUUGAUCAGACUAACGCUAGUAAACGUUUAUAAUCUCAAGGAAUGAUGUCAGUGAAUUGGUGCUUUAAAAAUCCAUCGAUGGGUGCUACAUUUUGUGUUUAUAAGUACAUGUGCAAUUUGUUUUAUACAUGAAUACUAAUUAUGUUUAUAUUCUAUACAGUAUAUUCUAUUAACUUUUUGUGUAUUAAAGACGUUUUUUGAAAGAG